rnacentral:rRNA from 1 species
CCUACGGGAGGCUGCAGUGGGGAAUAUUGCACAAUGGGCGCAACCCUGAUGCAGCGACGCCGCGUGAGUGAAGAAGUAACUCGUGAUGUAAAGCUCUUUCAGCAGGGAAGAAAAUGACGGUACCUGUGCAAGAAGCCAUGGCUAACUCCGUGCCAGCAGCCGCGGCAAUACGCAGGGGGCAAGCGUUAUCCGGAUUUACUGGGUGUAAAGGGAGCGUAGACGGCAGUGCAAGUCUGGAGUGAAAGUCGGGGGCUCAACCCCAGGACUGCACUGGAAACUGUACGGUUGGAGUGCAGUAGAGGUAGGUGGAAUUCGUGGUGUAGCGGUGAAAUGCGUAGAUAUUAGGAGGAACACCGGUGGCGAAGGCGGCUUACUGGACUGUAACUGACGUUGAGGCUCGAAAGCGUGGGGAGCAAACAGGAUUAGAUACCCCAGUAGUC